rnacentral:rRNA from 1 species
AUACGUAGGGGACGAGCGUUGUCCGGAAUUACUGGGCGUAAAGGGUGCGCAGGCGGCCAUUUAAGUCAGCGGUUAAAUCGUGGGGCUCAACCCCAUUUUGCCGUUGAUACUGGGUGGCUUGAUUGCGGUCGAGGUUGGCGGAAUUCGUUGUGUAGCGGUGAAAUGCAUAGAUAUGACGAAGAACACCGAUUGCGUAGGCAGCUGACCAGACCGCAAAUGACGCUCAUGCACGAAAGUGCGGGGAUCGAACAGGAUUAGAUACCCUGGUAGUCCGCACAGUAAACGAUGAAUACUUGUUUUCGGCGAUAUAAUGUCGGAGGCAAAGCGAAAGCGAUAAGUAUUCCACCUGGGGAGUACGCCGGCAACGGUGAAACUUAAAGGAAUUGACGGGG